rnacentral:tmRNA from 1 species
GGGGGCGAAACGGCUUCGACGGGAAUACAGGGCCGAAGAUGCGUGUCGAGGACCAUUUCCUCGUAAAAAAAUGGAACUAAACUUAACUGCUGAUCACGAAUUAGCGUUAGCUGCUUAAUAAAAUAAGCAGCCGUUCCCUUUGCUGAUGCCUGUGCGGUGAAUGUGGAGCGUCGACUAAUAGGCUAGCCGAUCACUCUCGUCCAAAGGUGGUUGGUGAAUUCACUGGACUAGUAGUCCAGUAGUCUUGCUGGUUCUUAAUGCUGGGCUGCGAAAAAACGAGGAACCGGAUACACACGUAGAUUUUUCUCGCUGAGUAUUUUCGGACGCGGGUUCGACUCCCGCCGCCUCCACAC